AGAGUUUGAUUCUGGCUCAGAACGAACGCUGGCGGCGUGGAUAAGACAUGCAAGUCGAACGAGAGAAUUGCUAGCUUGCUAAUAAUUCUCUAGUGGCGCACGGGUGAGUAACACGUGAGUAACCUGCCCCCGAGAGCGGGAUAGCCCUGGGAAACUGGGAUUAAUACCGCAUAGUAUCGAAAGAUUAAAGCAGCAAUGCGCUUGGGGAUGGGCUCGCGGCCUAUUAGUUAGUUGGUGAGGUAACGGCUCACCAAGGCGAUGACGGGUAGCCGGUCUGAGAGGAUGUCCGGCCACACUGGAACUGAGACACGGUCCAGACACCUACGGGUGGCAGCAGUCGAGAAUCAUUCACAAUGGGGGAAACCCUGAUGGUGCGACGCCGCGUGGGGGAAUGAAGGUCUUCGGAUUGUAAACCCCUGUCAUGUGGGAGCAAAUUAAAAAGAUAGUACCACAAGAGGAAGAGACGGCUAACUCUGUGCCAGCAGCCGCGGUAAUACAGAGGUCUCAAGCGUUGUUCGGAAUCACUGGGCGUAAAGCGUGCGUAGGCUGUUUCGUAAGUCGUGUGUGAAAGGCGCGGGCUCAACCCGCGGACGGCACAUGAUACUGCGAGACUAGAGUAAUGGAGGGGGAACCGGAAUUCUCGGUGUAGCAGUGAAAUGCGUAGAUAUCGAGAGGAACACUCGUGGCGAAGGCGGGUUCCUGGACAUUAACUGACGCUGAGGCACGAAGGCCAGGGGAGCGAAAGGGAUUAGAUACCCCUGUAGUCCUGGCAGUAAACGGUGCACGCUUGGUGUGCGGGGAAUCGACCCCCUGCGUGCCGGAGCUAACGCGUUAAGCGUGCCGCCUGGGGAGUACGGUCGCAAGAUUAAAACUCAAAGGAAUUGACGGGGACCCGCACAAGCGGUGGAUGAUGUGGAUUAAUUCGAUGCAACGCGAAAAACCUUACCCAGCCUUGACAUGUCAGGAAUGCCUCGGAGAUGA
rnacentral:rRNA from 1 species